rnacentral:rRNA from 1 species
CAUUAUUGAAAUAAACCUGAUGGGUUGUUGCUGGUUCUCUAGGGAGCAUGUGCACGCCUUGUCAUCUUUAUAUCUCCACCUGUGCACUUUUGUAGACCUUCUGGGUCUAUGUUGCUUCAUUUACCCCAAUGUAUGUUAAUAGAAUGUUGUGCCUUUAUAAUAUAUACAACUUUCAGCAACGGAUCUCUUGGCUCUCGCAUCGAUGAAGAACGCAGCGAAAUGCGAUAAGUAAUGUGAAUUGCAGAAUUCAGUGAAUCAUCGAAUCUUUGAACGCACCUUGCGCUCCUUGGUAUUCCGAGGAGCAUGCCUGUUUGAGUGUCAUUAAUAUAUCAAUCUUCUCUUCUUGAGUGGUUUGGAUGUGGGGGUUUGCUGGCCUCUUAAAGAGGUUUCAGCUCCUCUGAAAUGCAUUAGCAGAACGACCUGUUCAUUGGCGUGAUAACUAUCUACGCUAUUGAAUGUAAGGGGCAGUUCAGCUUUCUAACAGUCUUUGGACAAUUUAUCAUUAAUGUGACCUCAAAUCAGGUAGGACUACCCGCUGAACUUAAGCAUAUCAAUA